rnacentral:lncRNA from 1 species
CCAUUUCUUGGGCCACUCCUGCGGCAUAUGGAGGUUUCCAGGCUAGGGGUCAAAUUGGAGCUGUAGCCACCAGCCCACGCCAGAGCUACAGCAAUGUGGGAUCUGAGCCGUGUCUGCAACCUACACCACAGCUCGCGGCAACGCCAGAUCCUCAACCCACUGAGCAAGGCCAGGUAUCGAACCUGCAACCUUAUGGUUCCUAGUUGGAUUCGUUAACCACUGAGCCAUGACGGGAACUCCCCGGAAAUAACCUUUUGAGGAGCAUAGGAUAGCCCUAGGUUAAGAAACAGUGAACCAUAGGAUCUGAAACAGUGUGUGGCCCAUUGGCAGCCAUUGUUUUCUCUACCCAGCUGUUUCUGGCCAUUUCUGGACAAUAUGUCAUUGAAACACAAGUAUGUAAUUGAUUUUAAGAGCAAAUGAGAAAUAUACCAUCUCCUAACUUAAAGAAGUUAAUAGGAUCCAAUAAAUUCUUUUACAAUGUGUUUCUGUCUAGAUGGUCACUGAAAGGUCAUAGCACAAUAGGUCAAUAUAUACUUGGGAAACUUUUCACAAAUAACUGAAUUUCGCCGACCUAUUUCUGAUUUCAGAAGACCUCUAGGCAGAUUUCCUGGAGGAAGAAAACUCUCAGGUAGUGUCUGCUUCAGGACCAAAGGGGCUACUGCAUAGUGUCAAAGAUCCAUGUUUGAAUUCUGGCCCUGCCAUGAAUUUACUCAGCAAAUACUUAUUAAAAAACCAACUACCUUGGAGUUCUCUUGUGGCACAGUAGAUUAAGGGUCAGCUUUGUCACUGAAGCAGCUUGGGUUGCUGCUGUGGCAUGGGUUCAAUCUCUGGUCCAGGAACUUCCACAUUCCAUGGGUGAAGCCAAGAAAAAAAAAGCCUGCUAUCUUCCAGACACUAUAGUUAACACUGGAUAUAAGACAGUGAAUAGAAAGUUAUUGUCUUUUUUGUGGACUUCUGAGUCUAGUAAAAGAAUCAGAUAAACAAAUAGACAAUCAUAAUACAGAAUGAUAAAAGCUACAACAAAGAAGUACAAAAUAUGGAAACCUUUGGGAAGAACACAGUAUCAGUUUCCUACAGCUGCUGUAACAGCUUGUCAAAAUUCAGUGGCUUAAGACAAAGAAAAUUUAUUAUAUUACAAUUCUGGAGGUCAAAAGCCUGAAAUGCAUUUCACUAGGCUAAACUCAAGGUAUCAUCAGGGCGGUUUUUCUUCUGGAGGUUCUUAUAGAGAAUCCAUUUCCUUACGUUUUCCAGCUUCAUAAAGGUUGCCUGCAUUCCUUAGCUUAUGACUCUUUCCCAUCUUUAAAGUCAUCAAUGGCCAGCAGAAUUGCUUUCAUACCACAUCUCUGACACUGACUCUUCUGUCUCCCUAUUCUACUUUAUAAGGACUCUUGUGGUUUCAUUGAGCCCAUCAAGGUAGUCCAGGUGUAUCUCCAUCUCAAGCAUACCUAAUUAACAAACCAUAUUCCAUCUGCAAUGUUAAUUCCCUCUUGCUGAUUCCAGGGAUGAGGACAGAACACCAACAUCUUUGAGAACCAAUAUUCUGCCUGUGGUAAGCAGACUGGCAGAACAAAGGGGGAGGAAAAGCUACUUUGAGGAUUGAAAUGUAAGAUAAGUCUUGAAGGAUGAGUAGAAUUUAAGCAGUGAAAGGAAGGUCUUAGCAGGGUUAAGGGUAGACUUCUCUGUUUUGACUGUGGAACAGCAUGUGUCAGGGACCAGAGGCCAAAAAAGAAACAUGGUCCAUGGGAUGAUGUAAGGAAAAAAACUGAGUGUGGCUUGGGCAGAGACUGUGAGGGUAAGAGGAUGUCUGGCAAGUGAUAAAGCCCAAUGAUUAAGUAGUUAUGCAAGACCUUGGAAAAGAUGGUAAAAGCUUAGGAAUGUGUUACUAGGAUGUAGACAUAGAGGUGGUGUCGGGGAACAGCAUGAAGAAUGAUUGACAUAUCUGAGCAGCAUGUCCCUGGAUGGCUCAGCAGAAGACAGUGAUUGCUACCCCUAAGUUUGGAGGACUGUUGAAGGGGGCUGGAUGUUAACAGAAUAGAAAAGAAAAAUAAUUGUAUAUACAAGUGAUAAGCAGGAGGACACAGACAAUCUUGGGCAACUCUCCAUGGAGGAAGCCAUAGUAAUCUGAUAGACACCCUCCUUUCAAAAUGAGUUAAUUACAAUUUUGAUUAAUGCUAUGAAAGUGAAGUUCAGAGAGCUGAGAGAGUAUAUAUUGGGAGCCCUACACUUAGCUGUGGGUCAGAGAAAACUUAAGGAGAAAUAUUUAAGCUGAGAUCCGAAUGAUAAAUAAGAAAUAACUAGGUGAAGAGAGAAGGAUGUCCAGGCAGAGAGAAUGGCAAACACACAGGUAGAAAGAAGCAUGCCCUGUUUCAGCAGCCAAAAGGCCAGCACCUUCAGAGAGAAAGAAGAAAGGAAAAAGGAGAGUCAGAUAAGUCACGGCUGUGGAGUACAGAGAGGGGAUCGGGGCAGAAUCACAGGGCUCUCUAGAGCCUGUUAUGGCUUGAAAACUUGGUCUUGAGAGCAGUGAAAUGCUACCUAUAGUUUAACCAAAAGAAUGACAUGAUCAAAUUACGCCUUUAUAAAGAUCACCUGAACAUAGACCUAGAGAUUAUCAUAUUAAGUGAAGUAAAUUAAACAAAGACAAAUAUCAUAUCACAUAUGUGAAAUCUAAAAAAUAAUACAAAUGAACUUAUUUACAAAACAGAAAUAUACUCAUAGUCAUAGAAAACAAACUUACGAUUAUCAAAGGAGAUACUAUGGGGAGAAGGGGGAGGAGAGAAAUUAGGAGUUUGGGAUUAACACAUACACACUACUAUAUAUAAAAUUGGUAAACAACAGGGACCUACUGCAUAGCACUUAUAAUAACCUAUAAUGGGAAAGAAUCUGAAAAAGAACACAUGUAUGUAUUUAAAAAUAAGCUAUCCAUGAGAGAGCACAGUGGUUUGUGGGACAGAACUACUGUGCACAUCAGAAAGAGAAACAAUUGCUCCUGGAAGUAAAAGUGGACUACAGUUGAGCCUGCUUACAGAAAAGUGGCAUAAUUCAUCCCUAGGGAGAUGCCUCACUUUUGAGAAAGCAUCUUCAGGGUAUAAGCUCUUUCCUUCCCUUGAGAAAGUUCGGGUCCCUAAACUGGAUGGUCCAGGCUGGUGUGAGAUAAAAACAAAGCUGCACUAUUAGUCUGAAUAGUUAAAUGAGAAAAAAAUUCAGUUUGCUGCAGGCAGCCUAGGAGAGGGGCCUGGGACAGAGGAGAAAAAGGAAUUACCUGGAGGAUCUAUGGAAAGAAGAAAAAGGGCUCCUGGCACAUGGCUGGAGGCUGGAGCAUAAAAACUUCCGAUGGAAUGGGAUGGUGGACAAAUGACUGGAAACACUGAUAUUAUUGAAAAAUGUACUUGACGUUUGAAGUGUUUUCGGACCUGUAGUUACUUUCUGCAACCCUCAGAUCUGCAGUUAAGGCUGCCACUCAUGGAAGCCUCAGUGUUUGGUGCUUUGCUAGGGUGCAGAAAGAGGGGCAGCAUCUUGCUCUGGUCCAGCACAGGCAGGGAGAACUCACAGGAAGGAAUGGUCAUGGUCAGGAAGUCACAGAUGUGCACCCCCACAGAAAGGUGUGCAGUCCAGAAAACUCCAGAAAUGAUGGGAAGGAGUCUGGACUUCCCACUGAAGCAUUCAAGGGCGUUGACUGAGAUACUAAAGUUGAGGAUGACCGUAAGAGACUUGCGGAUAUGAAAGGAGGAAACAUCUGGAUUGUAGUUGUUUAUAUUUUGGGUUAAACCAAACAUGAUACUGCUUAAUAACUAUUACUAUUUAAUAAUGUUCACCCUGAACCAAGAAAGUCUUCAUAGUUUUCAGAAAUUUCCCAUUGGGGCUAUUUUGGCAGAUGGUAAGUAAUAACUUACUGAAUAAAGAAAAAUACUGAAGUAUCAAAUGUUACAUAAUACACAAAAAUGAAAUCUAUGAGUCUCUUGAUCAGAAAUAUUCAACUGGCAAAAUUAACAAGCUUCAAAGAUGCAUGCUGUGACAUCAUCCAUCCUAGCAAAUCCUGGCUAAUUGGACAAAAAAAUCUGACCUUUAUAUAGUAAGGCUGUCACAGAAAUGGCAACCAGAGUAAGUAUCAUAACAAAUAAGCCUCGUAUCAUGUGGUCUUUAUUAAAAUACCAAAACACAGGAAAACUUUUAACAAAACAUUUCUGUUCCGGGGACUUGCCCAAGCAUUUUUCUUUUUAUUUCUAGUUCAUUUGAGUUUGCAGAAGGAUUUCAUCUGCUUUUGCAGAUUCACUGUCAUGAUGAGGAUAUUAAGAGACCAGCUGUUACCCAAGAAAUUUUGUGAGCAUUGGCAAUAAAAUACACACAUUUAAAAGCAAAAUAAAAAUUCACGUUGUUUUGUGUGGAAUAUUUUGACAAAUAUACAUACAUGGUCAUAGCUAUCAGGCUAAAUCAUAGCCAAAUAUUUAAUUAAAAUGUAUCUAGAUAAUUGUGAGAAAGCCAGGAUCUCCAUUUUUUCCCUCUACUGUGGUAGGAAUGGCUUGCUAUGAAGGCCAUACUCAUGAAAAGUGGCAACUCUUAACUUCAUUGUUUUUUGCUCACCUGUGAUCAUUUAGAAAAUUUUACAGUCAGUGUUAAGCUCAAAGUCAAAGGUCUUUGUCUUUGAGUACUCUCUUACUUUCCUUUAGUUAUUUAUACUUCAAAGUACAGUUCAAUAAUGAUGGGGGCAUCCCUAAGUAAGUAGGUUUCAAAGACAUUAUUUCUAUAAAAGGCACAAAUAAUCUAUCUUGCGAGGUAAUAUUAUUUUGCCUCUGCUGUUCCACCUGCUCAAACCUAUCUGAACCAGAAUUCCUGAUGGGUCCGGCAGCAUAACUCUCAUAAGCCAGGUGGGAAUGGCCCAGGAUAUCCUGUGCACACACAUUCAUGAAUAAAUGAAAGAUGAGAAACGCUGUGUAGUAAGUGUUUUUGUUCUCUAAAUAUGAAUCCAUAAUUUGCUUUUUUAGCAGGAAUUUAUUCUGCUAUAAGAUUUGUGCCACCACCAAUUCUACUUCUAUCAUUUUCUAGGUCAAAGGAAGUAUUAACGAAAAAGGAGAUUCUGUUUUUCCAAGAAAAUUAUUGUCUAUCACACUGUAGAGAGUUGAAUUUCUUAAUCCUGCCAUUUAUCAGUUUAGUCAAAGAAGAUUAGAAUUAUCCGCUCUUAUUUUCCUUCACAUUACUUUGGUUUUGGAAUUCUUGCAAAAGACUAUUGUACACAGUCACGCCCCCACCCGCCGCCCCCCACUCUUUUAGGGCCGUACAACAGCAUAUGGAAGUUCCUAGGCUAGGUGCCGAAUCGGAGCUGCAGCUGUCAGCCAAGCCACAGUCACAGCCACAACAAUGCCAGAUCCCAGCCACUUCUGUGACUAUCCUGCAGCUUGGGGCAAUGCUAGAUCCUUCAACUCAUUGAGUGAGGCCAGGAACCAAACCUGCAUCCCCGUGAAUACUAAGUUGGGUUAGUAACCACUGAGCCACAAUGGGAACUCCCACAGUCAUCUUUUUAAAAAGAAAGAAAUAUGGAUUUCCCUGGUGGCUCAGUGGGUUAAGGAUCCGGCAUUGUCACUGCUGUGGCAUGGGUUUGAUCCCUGGCCUGGGAAUUUCCACAUGCCAAAGGCAACCCCCUAUCCCAAUUUUUUAAUUAGAAAAGAAAAAGAAAAAAAUAUGAUUGAAAUCAAAACCAACUUACUUCAACCAUAAUUAUAGUAGCUAAGAGGUGGUUAGCAGUACUGAGGUGGUUCAGUAUUGUGCUAAACACUGUCAAUUCUUUAUCUCAUUAAUUCACACAAGAACUUUGAGCAGUUAAGACGCACAAUCUUAUUGGACAAUGGUUCUCAAACUAGACUGUGCAUCAGGGUCAUCUAGAAUGCUUGUGAAAACACCUGCUACAUCCACCUCCAGAAUUUCUGACUCAGUUGGUCUAGGGUAAAGCCUGAGAAUUUGCACUUUGAAGAGGUUCUCAGGAAAUGCUGGUACUGCCAGUAUAUGGACUACACUUUGCAAACCACAGUUAUAGAUCAGGUUUCUAAAAACUGUGACCUACAGGCCAAAUCUAGGCAACUGCACUUUUUCUUGUCUGAUCCACACGCUAAGAUUGGUUUUAGUUUUGAACAGUGAA